rnacentral:sRNA from 1 species
UAAUUUACUGAGCAUGUCAAUCACCUGUAAACUGAGAAAACGAAACUACUCAAUUACCCCAUCCUCAGGAAUUCUUUAUCUGAUUGAAUUCUUUGUUUACUCUACUGUUGUUUACUGCAUCUUGUUAUCUGUUGCUUAAUU